AACGGGUGUCGUGCGAAGUCGAUGUUUUUGCCUGAACAAGUAAACACCACGCGAUAUUAAGACUACCGUUACACCCCGGACACAACAUACAAAACGCUUCAUUUUACACAGACACUACACAUUGACGCGCAUGUGUUUGUGUGAAGUCUGACAUCCAUGCGAUUGAAGACUGAUAUAAAACCGAGAAGGGGUGAGGUAAACCAAGCUCAACCGCUGGUGGGGAACAGAGAGUUGCCGUGAUUUAUGUGAUAUGUCCCCACCGGGAUUCGAACCCGGGGCCUCCGGAUCGUAAGUCCAACGCUCAACUACUGGACCACAGAAGCCGAUAUAACCAAUAUAAAUAUUGAUAUCACAAGUUAUUCCAAUCGCGAACUAAUUUUCCUGAAAACAGACAUCAGCCAUUCAAUAAUUUUAAAGCAGCUACAAUUUCUGCCCCGUUUCCAUUGACAUUUGAUUGAUACCCAUGGCAAAUCCAGGAGUGGUGGUGCCAGCUGGCGUUGACAUAAGAGAUUUUUACUAAGGCCGGCUCGACCAUUAUAGACGGCGAUACGGCUCACCACCUAUCAAGUUGGUUUUUCAGGAAGCUCUCCGAUGGAUGUAUACCCCUGACUACCCCAAAUGGGAUAGAGUCGUGAGCUUAUGUUGUUG